AAUGGACAAUGGGCGCAAGCCUGAUCCAGCCAUGCCGCGUGAGUGAUGAACGUCUUAGGAUUGUAAAGCUCUUUCACCGAUGAGAUAAUGACGGUAGUCGGAGAUGAAGCCCCGGCUAACUUCGUGCCAGCAGCCGCGGUAAUACGAAGGGGGCUAGCGUUGUUCGGA
rnacentral:rRNA from 1 species